rnacentral:lncRNA from 1 species
GACUGGGUGUGUUAGCUACAGGACUGGGUGUGUUAGCUACAGGACUGGGUGUGUUAGCUACAGGACUGGGUGUGUUAGCUAUAGGACUGGGUGUGUUAGCUAUAGGACUGGGUGUGUUAGCUAUAGGACUGGGUGUGUUAGCUAUAGGACUGGGUGUGUUAGCUUUAGGACUGGGUGUGUUAGAUAUAGGACUGGGUGUGUUAGCUAUAGGACUGGGUGUGUUAGCUACAGGACUGGGUGUGUUAGCUAUAGGGUGUGUUAGCUAUAGGGUGUGUUAGCUACAGGACUGGGUGUGUUAGCUAUAGGACUGGGUGUGUUAGCUACGGGACUGGGUGUGUUAGCUACGGGACUGGGUGUGUUAGCUACGGGACUGGGUGUGUUAGCUAUAGGCUGUGUUAGCUAUAGGACUGGGUGUGUUAGCUAUAGGACUGGGUGUGUUAGCUAUAGGACUGGGUGUGUUAGCUAUAGGGCUGGGUGUGUUAGCUAUAGGGCUGGGUGUGUUAGAUACGGGACUGGGUGUGUUAGCUACGGGACUGGGUGUGUUAGCUACGGGACUGGGUGUGUUAGCUACGGGACUGGGUGUGUUAGCUACGGGACUGGGUGUGUUAGCUAUAGGGCUGGGUGUGUUAGCUAUAGGGCUGGGUGUGUUAGCUAUAGGACUGGGUGUGUUAGCUAUAGGGUGUCUUAGCUAUAGGACUGGGUGUGUGAACUAUAGGACUGGGUGUGUGAACUGUAGGACUGAGUGUGUGAGCUGUAGGACUGAGUGUGUGAGCUAUAGGACUGAGUGUGUGAGCCAUAGGACUGAGUGUGUGAGCUAUAGGACUGAGUGUGUGAGCUAUAGGACUGGGUGUGUUAGCUAUAGGACUGGGUGUGUUAGCUAUAGGACUGGGUGUGUUAGCGAUGGGACUGGGUGUGUUAACUAUGGGACUGGGUGUGUUAGCUAUAGGACUGGGUGUGUUAGCUACAGGACUGGGUGUGUUAGCUACAGGACUGGGUGUGUUAGCUAUAGGCUGUGGUGUGUUAGCUAUAGGACUGGGUGUGUUAGCUAUAGGACUGGGUGUGUUAGCUAUAGGGCUGGGUGUGUUAGCUAUAGGGCUGUGUGUGUUAGCUAUAGGGCUGGGUGUGUUAGCUAUAGGGCUGGGUGUGUUAGAUAUGGGACUGGGUGUGUUAGCUACGGGACUGGGUGUGUUAGCUACGGGACUGGGUGUGUUAGCUACGGGACUGGGUGUGUUAGCUAUAGGGCUGGGUGUGUUAGCUAUAGGGCUGGGUGUGUUAGCUAUAGGACUGGGUGUGUUAGCUACAGGACUGGGUGUGUUAGCUAUAGGGUCUGUUAGCUAUAGGACUGGGUGUGUUAGCUAUAGGGUGUCUUAGCUAUAGGACUGGGUGUGUGAACUAUAGGACUGAGUGUGUGAGCUGUAGGACUGAGUGUGUGAGCUGUAGACCUGAGUGUGUGAGCUAUAGGACUGAGUGUGUGAGCUAUAGGACUGAGUGUGUGAGCUAUAGGACUGGGUGUGUGAGCUAUAGGACUGGGUGUGUUAGCUAUAGGACUGGGUGUGUUAGCUAUAGGACUGGGUGUGUUAGCUAUAGGACUGGGUGUGUUAGCGAUGGGACUGGGUGUGUUAACUAUGGGACUGGGUGUGUUAGCUAUAGGACUGGGUGUGUUAGCUACAGGACUGGGUGUGUUAGCUACAGGACUGGGUGUGUUAGCUAUAGGCUGUGUUAGCUACAGGACUGGGUGUGUUAGCUACAGGACUGGGUGUGUUAGCUACAGGACUGGGUGUGUUAGCUACAGGACUGGGUGUGUUAGCUACAGGACUGGGUGUGUUAGCUACAGGACUGGGUGUGUUAGCUACAGGACUGGGUGUGUUAGCUAUAGGACUGGGUGUGUUAGCUAUGGGACUGGGUGUGUUAGCUAUGGGACUGGGUGUGUUAGCUAUGGGACUGGGUGUGUUAGCUAUGGGACUGGGUGUGUUAGCUACGGGACUGGGUGUGUUA